UGGAAUGAUUUAUGGCUGAAAUCUAUAAGGCUCUUGGAUUGGACUGCGGCCGAUCAGGCUGUUGGUGAGGUAAUGGCCCACCAAACCUGUAACCGGUACGGGCUCUGAGAGGAGAAGCCCGGAGAUGGGCACUGAGAAAAGGGCCCAGGCCCUAUGGGGCGCAGCAGGCGCGAAACCUCUGCAAUAGGCGAAAGCUUGACAGGGUUACUCUGAGUGGUUUCCGCAAAGGAAAUCUUUUGGCACCUCUAAAAAUGGUGCAGAAUAAGGGGUGGGCAAGUCUGGUGUCAGCCGCCGCGGUAAUACCAGCACCCCGAGUGGUCGGGACGAUUAUUGGGCCUAAAGCAUCCGUAGCCGGUUCUGCAAGUCUCCCGUUAAAUCCACCUGCUUAACAGAUGGGCUGCGGGAGAUACUACAGAGCUAGGAGGCGGGAGAGGCAAGCGGUACUCAGUGGGUAGGGGUAAAAUCCGUUGAUCCAUUGAAGACCACCAGUGGCGAAGGCGGCUUGCCAGAACGCGCUCGACGGUGAGGGGUGAAAGCUGGGGGAGCAAACCGGAUUAGAUACCCGGGUAGUCCCAGCUGUAAACGAUGCAGACUCGGUGAUGAAUAGACUUAGUGUUUAUUCAGUGCCGCAGGGAAGCCGUUAAGUCUGCCGCCUGGGGAGUACGGUCGCAAGACUGAAACUUAA
rnacentral:rRNA from 1 species